CCCGCGGUAGCUCAGCCUGGUAGAGCGUCCGGCUGUAGACCGGAUGGCCGGGUGUUCAAAUCACCCCCGCGGGA
rnacentral:tRNA from 2 species